rnacentral:rRNA from 1 species
CCUACGGGGGGCAGCAGUGAGGAAUAUUGGUCAAUGGACGUGAGUCUGAACCAGCCAAGUAGCGUGAAGGAUGACUGCCCUAUGGGUUGUAAACUUCUUUUAUAUGGGAAUAAAAUGUUCCACGUGUGGGCUUUUGUAUGUACCAUAUGAAUAAGGAUCGGCUAACUCCGUGCCAGCAGCCGCGGUAAUACGGAGGAUCCGAGCGUUAUCCGGAUUUAUUGGGUUUAAAGGGAGCGUAGGUGGAUUGUUAAGUCAGUUGUGAAAGUUUGCGGCUCAACCGUAAAAUUGCAGUUGAAACUGGCAGUCUUGAGUACAGUAGAGGUGGGCGGAAUGCGUGGUGUAGCGGUGAAAUGCUUAGAUAUCACGAAGAACUCCGAUUGCGAAGGCAGCUCACUGGACUGCAACUGACACUGAGGCUCGAAAGUGUGGGUAUCAAACAGGAUUAGAUACCCUAGUAGUC